rnacentral:piRNA from 3 species
AGCCAAUGGGGCGAAGCUACCAUCUGU